rnacentral:rRNA from 1 species
AGUAGUCAUACGCUUGUCUCAAAGAUUAAGCCAUGCAUGUGUAAGUGUAAAUAUACUAGUUUGGAACUGCGAAUGGCUCAUUAUAUCAGUUAUAGUUUAUUUGGUGAAGUGUACUACUUGGAUAACCGUAGUAAUUCUAGGGCUAAUACAUGAGAAAGUCCUCUGGUGAGGUGUGUUUAUUAGAAUGAAAACCAUAUGCUUCGGCAUGAUAGUGAGUAAUAGUAACCUAUCGUAUCGCAUGCUUAAUGUAGCGAUGAGUCUUUCAAGUUUCUGCCCUAUCAGCUUUCGAUGGUAGAUAUGGGCCUACCAUGGCAGUAACGGGUAACGAAGAA